rnacentral:rRNA from 1 species
CGGGACGGGGUGAGUAAUGUCUGGGAAACUAGCCUGAUGAGGGGGGAUAACUACUGGAAACGGUAGCUAAUACCGCAUAACGUCGCAAGACCAAAGAGGGGGACCUUCGGGCCUCUUGCCAUCGGAUGUGCCCAGAUGGGAUUAGCUAGUAGGUGGGGUAACGGCUCACCUAGGCGACGAUCCCUAGCUGGUCUGAGAGGAUGACCAGCCACACUGGAACUGAGACACGGUCCAG